rnacentral:rRNA from 1 species
UACAGAGGGUGCGAGCGUUUGUUCGGAAUUAUUGGGCGUAAAGCGCGUGUAGGCGGUCUGUUAUGUCGGGUGUGAAAGCCCCUCAGCUUAACUGAGGAAGUGCGCCCGAAACUGGCAGACUUGAGUGCCGGAGAGGGUGGCGGAAUUCCCCAAGUAGAGGUGAAAUUCGUAGAUAUGGGGAGGAACACCGGUGGCGAAGGCGGCCACCUGGACGGUCAACUGACGCUGGAGACGCGAAAGCGUGGGGAGCAAACAGG